CUGCUUCUUAGCCUUCACCCUGUGCUUUCCCCAGUGCUGUUUACUGUGACCAGGAAACGGAGACUCUGCUCCCGCUGGACUGAGGGACUGAAAUUGUGGCUGGUGCAUUGCAGGUUACCUAAGUGUUAUURUGAUGAGAAGGGCCUCUGAGAUGAAGCUCAGCCUGUGGCUGGGCCGAAGGCUCUGAAAGCUGCAGGUGCUUCCAGCCGGAUCCUGCUGUGUGCCAGCCG